ACAUGCAUGAGGAAAGUCCGGGCUCCAUAGGGCGAGGAUGCCGGAUAACGUCCGGCGUAGGUAACUAUAGGGAAAGUGCAACAGAAACAUUCCGCCGAAACGGGUGAUGCCGUGGUAAGGUUGAAAUGGUGAGGUAAGAGCUCACCGGCGUCAUGGAGACAUGGCGGCCGUGUAAACCCCAUCCGGAGCAAGGUCAAAAGUGGGCGCAAAAGGUGGCUGCCCGUCACCGCCCUGGUUGGUAGACCGCAUGAGCGUGCAGUAAUGUUACGCCUUAGAUAGAUGAUUGUCUAAUACAGAACCCGGCUUAUAGAUCUGCCCG
rnacentral:RNase_P_RNA from 1 species